GAAAGGAAGGCAGCGCCACUAUAAACCACAUAAACCACUGUGCUCUUUUAAUUUAUGUGGUUUAUAGUGGCGCUGCCUUCCUUUC